ACCCUCUCAGGAUCGCACCUGGAUACUUUCCAGUACUCUACCAGUCUCGGCUACAGGAGGGAGAGUCAAGCAGAGGCCUACCCAUUCCAUUCCUAGCUUGGACAGUGGCUAGCAAGUGGAAGACAAUCUGCUACAAGU